rnacentral:rRNA from 1 species
GCAUAUCAAUAAGCGGAGGAAAAGAAACUAACAAGGAUUCCCCUAGUAACGGCGAGUGAAGCGGGAAGAGCACAAAUUUUAAAUCUACCUGGUCUCUAGGUCGAGUUGUAAUUUGAAGAAACUGUUUUUUACGUUCCGGGUUGGAUUAAAUCCUUUGGGAUAAGGUAUCAUGGAGGGUGAGAAUCCCGUGUAUACCAACCACUGGAAUGUUAUUAAUACGUUUUCUAAGAGUCGAGUUGUUUGGGAAUGCAGCUCUAAAUGGGUGGUAAAUUUCACCUAAUGCUAAAUAUAAGCGAGAGACCGAUAGUGAACAAGUACCGUGAGGGAAAGAUGAAAAGAACUUUGAAAAGAGAGUUAAAUAGUACGUGAAAUUGUUGAAAGGGAAACGGUUGAAGUCAGUCAUGCCGGCGGGAAUCAACUUAGGGGAAACUCUAAGUGCACUUCUUCGCUUGGCAGGUUAGCGUCGAUUUUGGAUGUCAUAAAAUGACUGGGGGAAGGUAGCUCCUUCGGGAGUGUUAAGCCCUUGGUAGAUGUGAUGUUCGGGAUCGAGGAUUGCAACGGAUACCCUUUGGGCUAGCCACCUGGUCUCUAAUACGAAGUUGGGUUAUAGAUAGCAUGCUAACUAUGAUCUGAUUUUCGGUUAAAAGAUUAGAGUGAGUGUAAAUUCGUUAAGGACGCUGACGUAAUGGCUUUAAACGAC